CAUCCUCCCUUUCCUAACACCCAUCUGUGAACAGGCCUCGCUCUGCCACUGCUCGGCCGAGUCUGUCCUCAUGAGGCAGCUUUUUGUUUUGUUUUGUUUUGUUUGUUUGUUUGUUUUGAGACAGAGUCUCGCUCUGUCACCCAGGCUGGAGUGCAGUGGUGUGAUCUCGGCUCACUGCAACCUCUGCCUCCUCAGUUCAAGCAAUUCUCCUGCCACAGCCUCCUGAGUAGCUGGGAUUACAGACAUGCACCACCACGCCUGGCUAAUUUUUGUAUUUUUAAUGGAGAUGGGGUUUCACCAUCUUGGCCAGACUGGUCUUGAACUCCUGACCUCAGGUGAUCCACCCACCUCAGCCUCCCAAAGUGCCGGGAUUACAGGCCUGAGCCACCGCGCCCGGCCCUGAUAAGGCUGUUACACCUCAGCGUCCGGGACACAAUUUGGUUACUUAGAACAUCAGCAACGGAGCUGUGCUGCUCUACAAAGAUCUCAGCGAUGUCUGAUCCAGCCCCCUGUGGUACAGAUGGGGAAACUGAGGCACAAAGCAGCAGCGUGAUCUGUGGAAGAUCACAAAAGGAGACAGGGGGUGUCAGGCACAACCGUCAGCACCGGAGUUUAUUGGGCACCUCCGAGGGGCCGGGUGUAGGUGGAGUCCGAGGGGCCAGGUGCAGGUGGAGGACCUGCCGUUGUUGUCUGGUUUUACCCUCUCUCGUAAGGCUGGGCCUGAGUCCUGGCGAGAAGGGCAAGGCGCGGAGAGGCAGUGGACUGGCCUGAGGCCGCACCACCAGCGGGGCGGGGAGGACCAGGUCUGGAGCCGGGAGGUCUACACCUCUGGGGUCUGCUGAUCUCCAGCUCUGCUGGCCUGCAGUGUUUUGGCUGCUGGCCUCUGCUGGGAGCUGGGGGAGGGUGGGGUGGCCUGGCAGAGGCCGAGGAGCCCAGCCCCACUUGAAUCCAAGGCCGCGUGUCUGCAGGUUGGGGGUAUCAGGGAGCAAGUCCAGCCACUUGGAAUUAGGGUCUUCGCAGUUGUGAUCGAGGUAGGGAUCUCCAGCAGAUGAUAUUAUCCUGGAGUACCUGGAAGGGCCCUAAAUCCAGUGACAGGUGUCCUUCUAAGAGGUAGAAGAGGAGGCACAGACACAGAGAACAGGAGGCCACUUGGCAGUGGCGUGUGGAAAUCUGAGUAGACAGUGGCUGAGGCUUCCCCCGUGCCUGUCGGCCCCAUCCAGGCUCCAGGAAGAAGGAGGUGUCUGUCCUUUUCUCUCUCACGC
rnacentral:lncRNA from 1 species